UCGUAACAAGGUUCCGUAGGUGAACCUGCGGAAGGAUCAUAA
rnacentral:rRNA from 1 species